CAGAGCUGGCGGGGAGCACUCCCAGGGAGCCCAGGCCAGAGCUGGGGGCUCUGACACUGACCGGAGGAGCACAGGGGUCACUCCGGGGCUGCAGAGCCAGCUCAGGCGACGAACACAGGCCCAGACUGCCACUGAGCUUAUGGCCCAGAGAAUUCAGAGCCCUGGGCUUGGGUCUCUUCCAGGAAUUCCGAGUCUACUCAGGCACCUGGUACCUGAUGGAUUGGAGAAUUCGUUCAUCUACAGAAAGCCCGGGAGGGAGAUAAGAAGAUACCUACAUUUCUUACGAUUUCCUUGGAGCCGAAGACAUCAGCUAUGAACUCGAAUGUCUUCCUGCUGAAGGAGUCAUCUCUGCAGAAAAAGCCCCUCACUACUCUGUACCCCGUGGUCCUGCAGCCAUCCGCAUCACCGGAGGAGCCCGCUUUCUUGGCCUCAUGCACC